CCUACGGGAGGCUGCAGUGAGGAAUAUUGGUCAAUGGCCGCAGGGCUGAACCAGCCAAGUCGCGUGAGGGAUGACGGUCCUAUGGAUUGUAAACCUCUUUUGUCAGGGAGCAAAGGGCGCCACGUGUGGCGCUUUGCGAGUACCUGAAGAAAAAGCAUCGGCUAACUCCGUGCCAGCAGCCGCGGUAAUACGGAGGAUGCGAGCGUUAUCCGGAUUUAUUGGGUUUAAAGGGUGCGCAGGCGGAAUGUCAAGUCAGCGGUAAAAUUUCGGGGCUCAACCCCGUCGUGCCGUUGAAACUGGCGUUCUUGAGUGAGCGAGAAGUAUGCGGAAUGCGUGGUGUAGCGGUGAAAUGCAUAGAUAUAACGCAGAACUCCGAUUGCGAAGGCAGCAUACCGGCGCUCAACUGACGCUCAUGCACGAAAGCGUGGGUAUCGAACAGGAUUAGAUACCCCAGUAGUC
rnacentral:rRNA from 1 species